GUGCCAGCAGCCGCGGUAAUACGAAGGGGGCUAGCGUUGCUCGGAAUGACUGGGCGUAAAGGGCGCGUAGGCGGUUUGGACAGUCAGAUGUGAAAUUCCUGGGCUCAACCUGGGGGCUGCAUUUGAUACGUUCGGACUAGAGUGGGGAAGAGGGUCGUGGAAUUCCCAGUGUAGAGGUGAAAUUCGUAGAUAUUGGGAAGAACACCGGUGGCGAAGGCGGCGACCUGGUCCUUGACUGACGCUGAGGCGCGAAAGCGUGGGGAGCAAACAGGAUUAGAUACCCCAGUAGUCC
rnacentral:rRNA from 1 species